CGAUUAACCUGCCCUUAAACUCUGGGAUAAGCCUGGGAAACUGGGUCUAAUACCGGAUAUGACUCCUCAUCGCAUGGUGGGGGGUGGAAAGCUUUAUUGUGGUUUUGGAUGGACUCGCGGCCUAUCAGCUUGUUGGUGAGGUAAUGGCUUACCAAGGCGACGACGGGUAGCCGGCCUGAGAGGGUGACCGGCCACACUGGGACUGAGACACGGCCCAGACCUCCGUACGGGAGGCAG
rnacentral:rRNA from 1 species